rnacentral:rRNA from 1 species
UGAACGCUGGCGGCGUGCCUAACACAUGCAAGUCGAGCGGAGAUAAGUUGAAGCCUAGCGAUCUUAUCUUAGCGGCGGAUGGGUGAGUAACACGUGGGUAACCUGCCCUGCACUGGGGAAUAACAGCUGGAAACGGCUGUUAAUGCCGCAUAUGCGCACGGAGCCGCAUGGCUUUGGGCGGAAAGAUUUAUCGGUGCAGGAUGGGCCCGCGCCGGAUUAACUAGUUGGCGGGGUAACGGCCCACCAAGGUGAUGAUCCGUAGCCGACCUGAGAGGGUGACCGGCCACAUUGGGACUGAGACACGGCCCAAACUCCUACGGGAGGCAGCAGUGGGGGAUAUUGCACAAUGGGGGGAAAAACCCCCUGAUGCAGCGACGCCGCGUGAAGGAUGAAGUAUUUCGGUAUGUAAACUUCUAUCAACGGGGAAGAAGAUGACGGUACCCGACUAAGAAGCCCCGGCUAACUACGUGCCAGCCGCGGC